GAUGAACGCUGGCGGCGUGCCUAAUACAUGCGAGUCGAGCGAACAGACGAGGAGCUUGCUCCUCUGACGUUAGCGGCGGACGGGUGAGUAACACGUGGAUAACCUACCUAUAAGACUGGGAUAACUUCGGGAAACCGGAGCUAAUACCGGAUAAUAUAUUGAACCGCAUGGUUCAAUAGUGAAAGACGGUUUUGCUGUCACUUAUAGAUGGAUCCGCGCCGCAUUAGCUAGUUGGUAAGGUAACGGCUUACCAAGUCAACGAUGCGUAGCCGACCUGAGAGGGUGAUCGGCCACAAUGGAACUGAGACACGGUAAAGAAUCCUAAGGGAGGCCGCAGUCGGGAAUAUUACGCAAUGGGCGAAAGCCUGACGGAGCAACGCAGCGUGAGUGAUGAAGGUCUUCGGAUCGUAAAAAUCUGUUAUUAGGGAAGAACAAAUGUGUAAGUAACUAUGCACGUCUUGACGGUACCUACUAAGAAAGCCACGGCUAACUACGUG
rnacentral:rRNA from 1 species